UACGGAGGGUGCGAGCGUUGUCCGGAAUCAUUGGGCGUAAAGGGCUCGUAGGCGGCCAACUAAGUCGGAUGUGAAAUCCCCAGGCUUAACCUGGGAACUGCAUCCGAUACUGGAUGGCUUGAAUUCGGGAGAGGGAUGCAGAAUUCCAGGUGUAGCGGUGAAAUGCGUAGAUAUCUGGAGGAAUACCGGUGGCGAAGGCGGCAUCCUGGACCGAGAUUGACGCUGAUGAGCGAAAGCUAGGGGAGCAAACGGG
rnacentral:rRNA from 1 species